GUCGUACGGGAGUUUAUAACUCAAGUGGCGGACGGGUGAGUAACACGUGAGAAUUUACCUUUAGGAGGGGGAUAAUAGUAGUGAUACAUGAUAAAAUACCCCCAUAUGCUUUUAAGUAAAAAAAGAUUUUAUCUGCCUAAAAGAAAAGCUCGCGGCUGAUUAGCUUGUUGGUAAGGUAAUGGCUUACCCAAGGCCGACGAUCAGUAUCUUGGUUUGAGAGGGACGAUCAGACCACACCUGGAACUGAGGACACGGUCCCAGGACUCUCUGCGGGAGGGCAGGCAGUGGGGAAUUUUCCGCCAAUGGGCGAAAGCCUGACGGCGCAAUACCGNCGGGGAGGGGAAGACGGCCCAUGGGUUGUAAACCUUUUUUUUUCAGUGGGGGAAACAAAUGACGUGUAGCUGAAGAAUAAGCAUCGGCUAACUCCGUGCCAGCAGCCGCGGUAAGACGGAGGAUGCAAGUGUUAUCCGGAAUCACUGGGCGUAAAGCGUCUGUAGGUGGUUAAAUAAGUCAACUGUUAAAUCUUGAAGCUUAACUUCAAAAUUGCAGUCGAAACUAUUCGACUAGAGUAUAGUAGGGGUAAAGGGAAUUUCCAGUGGAGCGGUGAAAUGCGUAGAUAUUGGAAAGAACACCGAUGGCGAAAGCACUUUACUGGGCUAUUACUAACACUCAGAGACGAAAGCUAGGGUAGCAAAUGGGAUUAGAUACCCCAGUAGUCCUUGCCGUAAACA
rnacentral:rRNA from 1 species